AAAGGAGACGGCUAACACAUCAUCUUUGUUAGCUCAUCGUCCACCAUUCUCACGCAGGAGAAGCUUCUACAUCAAUCAGCAUAAAAGAUCUCUAAACAAUUAGAUCAGUAUUUAAACCCCAAAAGUUGUAAACAAGUUUGUUGCAGAUAUUUUUGAGAACUAAAAAUAUAUUUUUCUUGAAGUUAGCUUCCUUCACACGUGCCUCCUCACUUGCACGUGUCUUCUUCUGCCUCUUAUGAACUUAUCAAUACUCCCCCCCCCCCCAUUCAAACAGCUUGGCCACAAGCUGUGGUAGCUAAUGUAGUGAAGAUCGAAACCAAUGAAGAUCCUGACACAAUCGUUACUCCUUUAAGACCAUCGUAGACUCAGAUAGUCUUUGGCCUCUCAACUGUUUUGUACUUUGUAACGCCUCCUUCCCUUCGUUAUAUCUUGUUUGUACUUGAAACGCCAUGCCUUGAGAAAUCUCUG